UACAGAGGUCUCAAGCGUUGUUUCGGAUUCAUUGGGCGUAAAGGGUGUGUAGGUGGCGCCGUAAGUCGGGGUGUGAAAUUUCGGAGCUUAACUCCGAAACUGCAUUCGAUACUGCGGUGCUUGAGGACUGGAGAGGAGUACUGGAAUUCAUGGUGUAGCAGUGAAAUGGCGUAGAGAUCAUGAGGAAGACCAGUGGCGAAGGCGGUUCUCUGGGCCUUACCUGACGCUGAGGAGCGAAAGCGUGGGGAGCGAACAGG
rnacentral:rRNA from 1 species